GCUGGGGUGGUAGAGUGGUCAAUUACACUUGGCUGUAAACCAAGCGCCUUCGGGCUACGGGGGUUCGAAUCCCUCCCCCAGCA
rnacentral:tRNA from 2 species